CUCGGCCCCCACCAGCCCGCCCACCAGGCCUCGAUGGCUCUCUCGAAUCUCGCCCGCCCUGUAGCCCCCAACUUCUCCCAAGCACGCCUUCUCAGCUCACAUCUUUCAAAGGGACCACGUGGAGAGAGAGAAAGGGAGACUCUCAGACGGCAGCAUCACUGAAAUAACCUUUCCAGUGAAUGAGAUAGAUGACAGAGGUGUCAGCCAGAUAGAGCCCUGUGGACCCAGGACCUACUGACGCACCUGACAAGUAAUGAGGUUAGGCAUAUCUGAUGAAGGAUAUCUGAUCAACUAUGACAUUAUCUCCACAAAGGCCAUAACUGCUAGGCGGUAAUUCACUAAGUGUCUGCUGAAGUUUCUUAGAGUGUUAAGCAACUAGACUCGCCCAUGCUUCCAAGGAGUCCUGCAUUUUUUUGGAGUAGCUGUUUGGAGAUGCAGAAUUCAGAGAAGAGUACAGAAGAAAGGUACAAGCCUAAUCUUCUCUCAGACAGAAGGAAAGACUCUACAAAGAACUAACUUAGGGGCUUCCCUGGUGGCACAGUGGUUAAGAAUCCGCCUGCCAAUGCAGGGGACAUGGG